rnacentral:rRNA from 1 species
UACGUAGGGGGCAAGCGUUGUCCGGAAUCAUUGGGCGUAAAGAGCGCGUAGGCGGUCCGGUAAGUCGGUUGUGAAAACUGGGGGCUCAACCCUCAGAGGCCGACCGAUACUGCCGGGCUAGAGUCCGGAAGAGGCGAGUGGAAUUCCUGGUGUAGCGGUGAAAUGCGUAGAUAUCGAGAGGAACACCUGCGGCGAAGGCGGGUUGCUGGGCUGACACUGACGCUGAGGCGCGAAAGCUAGGGGAGCGAACGGG